rnacentral:rRNA from 1 species
UCGAUAUGUGAGGUUUGUGCUCUUCGAGGGCGUUGGCUUCCGGAGCUAACGCAUUAAAUAGACCGCCUGGGGAGUACGGCCGCAAGGUUAAAACUCAAAUGAAUUGACGGGGGCCCGCACAAGCGGUGGAGCAUGUGGUUUAAUUCGAUGCAACGCGAAGAACCUUACCUGGUCUUGACAUCCUCAGACAUUUCCAGAGAUGGAUUGGUGCCUUCGGGAACUGUGAGACAGGUGGUGCAUGGUUGUCGUCAGCUCGUGUUGUGAAAUGUUGGGUUAAGUCCCGCAACGAGCGCAACCCUUAUCCUUUGUUGCCAGCGGUUAGUCCGGGAAUUCAAAGGAGACUCCCAGUGAUAAACUGGAGGAAGGUGGGGAUGACGUCAAGUCAUCAUGGCCCUUACGACCAGGGCUACACACGUGCUCCAAUGGCGCAUCCAAAGAGAAGCGACCUCGCGAGAGCAAGCGGACCUCAUAAAGUGCGUCGUAGUCCGGAUUGGAGUUUGCAACUCGACUCCAUGAAGUCGGAAUCGCUAGUAAUCGUAGAUCAGAAUGCCACGGCAAUACGUUAGAGGCCCUUGUACA